rnacentral:tRNA from 1 species
AGGCACGUAGCUCAGUUGGUUAGAGCACCACCUUGACAUGGUGGGGGUUGUUGGUUCGAAUCCAAUCGUGCCUACCA